rnacentral:rRNA from 1 species
CCUACGGGGGGCAGCAGUGGGGAAUAUUGGACAAUGGGGGCAACCCUGAUCCAGCCAUGCCGCGUGUGUGAAGAAGGCCCUCGGGUUGUAAAGCACUUUCAGUGAGGAAGAACGCCUGGUGGUUAAUACCCAUCAGGAAAGACAUCACUCACAGAAGAAGCACCGGCUAACUCCGUGCCAGCAGCCGCGGUAAUACGGAGGGUGCGAGCGUUAAUCGGAAUUACUGGGCGUAAAGCGCGCGUAGGUGGCUUGAUAAGCCGGUUGUGAAAGCCCCGGGCUCAACCUGGGAACGGCAUCCGGAACUGUCAAGCUAGAGUGCAGGAGAGGUAGGUAGAAUUCCCGGUGUAGCGGUGAAAUGCGUAGAGAUCGGGAGGAAUACCAGUGGCGAAGGCGGCCUUCUGGACUGACACUGACACUGAGGUGCGAAAGCGUGGGUAGCAAACAGGAUUAGAUACCCGUGUAGUC